CCUACGGGAGGCAGCAGUGGGGAAUAUUGCACAAUGGGGGAAAGCCUGAUGCAGCGACGCCGCGUGAGUGAAGAAGGCUUUCGGGAUGUAAAGCUCUAUUAGCAGGGAAGAAAAUUACGGUACAUGUUUAAGAUUCCCCGGCUAACUACGUGCCAGAAGACGCGGUAAUACGGAGGGGGCAAGCGUUAUCCGGAUUUACUGGGUGUAAAGGGGGCGUAGACGGCAGGACAAGUCUGGAGUGAAAUGCCGGGGCUUAACCCCGGAACUGCUUUGGAAACUGUGAGGCUAGAGUGCAGGAGAGGUAAGUGGAAUUCCUGGUGUAGCGGUGAAAUGCGUAGAUAUUAGGAGGAACACCAGUGGCGAAGGCGGAUUACUGGACGGUAACUGACGGUGAGGCGCGAAAGCGUGGGGAGCAAACAGGAUUAGAUACCCUAGUAGUC
rnacentral:rRNA from 1 species